CGUUGAUUUGCCCUUCUUGUCCUUCUUGGAGCGGUUAUAUGAUUCAUCAUCAUCACCAUCAUCCGUACUAGAUGAUAGCACACUUGAUGAUGCAUCAUACACCUCCUUUUCUUUCUUCUUCUCUUCUUCUUUCUUUGCUGCCCUUCUUUUGUCUCGCUCUUCUCUUUUGGCUUUUCUUUCUUCUUUUCUUUUCUUCUUGGCAGCUAGCUUUUCAUCUUCUUUUCUUUUUGCUUUAGCUUCUCUUCAUGCUUGCCUCCUUUGCCUUCUCUCAGGAUCGAUAGUCAUACCACCAUCAGGCUUGAGGGUGGAGUUGUUGGCUGUUGAGACUGAUAGCUCACUGCUAUCACUCUCAACCAGCACAUCCUCAGCUUGUGCAGCUGGAAUGGACUUACCCUUCGCCCC
rnacentral:lncRNA from 1 species